rnacentral:misc_RNA from 1 species
GUUCCGUAGGUGAACCUGCGGAAGGAUCAUUAUUGUAUCCGCGAGGUGCGAGGGCUGUCGCUGACCCGCGAGGUCGUGCACGCCCGAGUUCCCUCACACCCAUCCAUCUCACCCCUAUGUGCACCACCGCGUGGGUCCCCCUUUGGCUUGUUCGGAGGGGGGCUUACGUUUUCACACAAACGUUGUAUGAAGUGUAGAAUGUAUUUUUUGUUUUUGCGAUCACGCAAUCAAUACAACUUUCAACAACGGAUCUCUUGGCUCUC